rnacentral:rRNA from 1 species
UUUUACCUACGGGGGGCAGCAGUGAGGAAUAUUGGUCAAUGGGCGGGAGCCUGAACCAGCCAAGUCGCGUGAGGGAAGACGGUCCUAUGGAUUGUAAACCUCUUUAGGCGGGGAGCAAUGCCGGGCACGCGUGUCCGGAGGGAGAGUACCCGCAGAAUAAGCAUCGGCUAACUCCGUGCCAGCAGCCGCGGUAAUACGUAGGUGCGAGCGUUAAUCGGAAUUACUGGGCGUAAAGCGCUCGUAGGCGGUAUGUCAAGUCAAGGGUGAAAUCCCCG